UACGUAGGUGGCGAGCGUUGUCCGGAAUUACUGGGCGUAAAGGGCGCGUAGGCGGAUAUUUAAGUCAGAUGUGAAACUCCGGGCUCAACUUGGAGAUUGCAUUUGAAACUGGGUAUCUUGAGGACAGGAGAGGAAAGCGGAAUUCCUAGUGUAGCGGUGAAACGCGUAGAUAUUAGGAGGAACACCAGUUGCGAAGGCGGCUCUCUGGACUGUAACUGACACUGAGGCACGAAAGCGUGGGGAGCAAACAGGAUUAGAUACCCGGGUAGUCCCUGA
rnacentral:rRNA from 1 species